rnacentral:rRNA from 1 species
AUAGCGUAUAUUAAAGUUGUUGCAGUUAAAAAGCUCGUAGUUGGAUCUGUGCCGGCGACGUGGUCCACCCCAAAGGGCGGCACUGCGCUCGUCGGCUUUGGGCCGGUCUUCGUGCGGUCGCCUUCAUCGGUGGCCGUGCGUGGCUGGCUGGUUUACUUUGAGCAAAUCAGAGUGCUCAGCACAGGCGUUUCGCCGGAAUGUUCGUGCAUGGAAUAAUAGAAAAGGAUUUCGGUCCUCUUUUAUUGGUUUUGUGGACUGAGAUAAUGGUUAACAGAGACGAACGGGGGCAUUCGUAUUGCUGCGUGAGAGGUGAAAUUCUUGGACCGCAGCAGGACGGACUACAG